CCUACGGGAGGCAGCAGUGGGGAAUAUUGCACAAUGGAGGAAACCCUGAUGCAGCGACGCCGCGUGAGUGAAGACGUAUCUCGGUAUGUAAAGCUCUAUCAGCAGGGAGGAAAAUGACGGUACCUGAUUCAGAAGCCCCGGCUAACUACGUGCCAGCAGCCGCGGUACUACGUAGGGGGCAAGCGUUAUCCGGAUUUACUGGGUGUAAAGGGAGCGUAGACGGCAGCACAAGUCUGGAGUGAAAUGCCGGGGCUUAACCCCGGAACUGCUUUGGAAACUGUGCAGCUAGAGUGCAGGAGAGGUAAGUGGAAUGCCUGGUGUAGCGGUGAAAUGCGUAGAGAUUAGGAGGAACACCAGUUGCGAAGGCGGCUUACUGGACUGUAACUGACGUUGAGGCUCGAAAGCGUGGGGAGCAAACAGGAUUAGAUACCCGUGUAGUC
rnacentral:rRNA from 1 species